AAGUCGUAACAAGGUUUCCGUAGGUGAACCUGCGGAAGGAUCAUUAACACCUAUCCGUUAGAAAGUGGCAAUCCCCGGUAAAUCAUCGCCGAACAGUUUUGAUUCAGGGACUUCUGCGUGGGUAGGACAACUGCGCGAGCAAGUGGCUGGCAUCCCUCUGCUUUGUUAGUGUCUGAAAGUGUCACUAGCUCUGGCGCAAUCACGAUCGCGAGAGGCGACCGGGUCAAUGGGCCCUCGGCCUAAUCACGUUUGCAUGAAAACGGGCCUGCGCUUAAUUGUGCGGCCACCAAACUCGAACAACUGUUAACAAUGGAUAUCUUGGUUCUC
rnacentral:misc_RNA from 1 species